CCCCACUGCUAUCGGGAUAGGACUAAGACAUGCUAGUUGAGCGUUUCCCAGCCAACACGGAGACGCAGCGCACAGCUCAGUAACACGCGGUUAAUCUGCCCUUGGGACCGGAACCACCCCCGGGAAACUGGGGCUAAUUCUCGAUAGGUGAAGAACUCUGGAAUGAGUCUUUGCCGAAAAGAUGCUAAAUUUAUGCUCUUUGGUAUCGCCCAAGGAUGAGGCCGCGACCGAUCAGGUUGUUGGUGAGGUAAUGGCUCACCAAGCCUUUUACCGGUGCGGGCCGUGAGAGCGGGAGCCCGGAGAUGGGCAUUGAGACAAGGGCCCAGGCCCUACGGGGCGCAGCAGUCGCGAAAACUUUGCAAUACACGAAAGUGUGACAGGGUUAUCCCGAGUCCCAUCCGUUGAGGAAGGCUUUUACCCAGUCUAGAACGCUGGGGGAAUAAGGAGAGGGCAAGUCUGGUGUCAGCCGCCGCGGUAAUACCAGCUUUCCGAGUGGUGUGGAUGUUUAUUGGGCCUAAAGCAUCCGUAGCUGGUUAAGUUAGUCCCUUGUUAAAUCCACCGAAUUAAUCGUUGGAUUGCGGGGGAUACUGCUUGGCUAGGGGACGAGAGAGGCAGACGGUAUUUCCGGGGUAGGGGUGAAAUCCUAUAAUCCCGGGAAGACCACCAGUGGCGAAGGCUGUCUGCUAGAACGCGCCCGACGGUGAGGGAUGAAAGCUGGGGGAGCGAACCGGAUUAGAUACCCGGGUAGUCCCAGCUGUAAACGAUGCAGGCUAGGUGUUUGGACGGCCACGUGCCGUUCUAGUGCCGCAGGGAAGCUGUUAAGCCUGCCGCCUGGGGAGUACGAUCGCAAGAUUGAAACUUAA
rnacentral:rRNA from 1 species